CCUACUUUAUUAUAGGAAGCCCAAAGGAAGGAUAUCUCUCGCGUGUUGGAAAAGUGAAGCCUACUUUGCUCACCUUUCCUCCGAUUUCGCAUCUUCCAAGUGGACCCAGGGGGGCCAUCUGGUGAGCGAAAUAAUGACACGCCCUCCGAAAUUUCGAAUGUUAUGGUUUGGGGGGAUUACCCUGUAAUUUAUGAACGCACCAUUAAUAUGUUGCCGUGAGGGAUUUCAUGACAAUGUUACAUGGAACGGUGGACAUUAUUGUUUAGUGAAUGGCCCUUCGUAGCCAUUUAACACGUCCUAUCGUCCAAUCUGAUUCCAUUCCUUCGCGAAUGAAAUCAUAUCGAUAGAAACGUAAACAAAUCCGUGUUUUCAAAUAUCGCCACUAGACGAUAAAUUGGCUCCCGUGGGUCCACUUAGGGCGGAGCCAAAUAAGAGGAAGGGAACCCAAAUUGGCUUCCAAAAAAAACCCAAACCGUUGGGCUUCCUAUAAUAAAGUAGGCUAUGACUAACUUAAGCUUAAGAUUCAAAACUCAUUACUAGAUGUCGCCUGUGUCGCCCUUGUUGUUCUCUUAUCGUGAUUCGUGAAACGAGGCGAAACAAUUUGUUGCUAAUUUAUACUUAUAUUCAUGUGAUUUCAAAUACCAAAUUGAACUUCGCAAAUUAUAUGUGGAUACUGUCAGUCAUUCCAACAAGUUGACUUAGCGCUCAGUCACUUUCCAUCCAAUAGGCCCAUCAUGCUGUCAAAUGCCUAAAACUCAUGUGUGAAGCUCACAUCAUAGAAUACAAAUGUGUGGAGACAAGGUAUUUCCCCAUUACUGCUACCACACCAACCACACCACGUCAAAUGCCAAAUUCAGCACCAUUCACCCAUAUGAUCAAGCAUCAGGAAAUUUACCUCAACCUAAGGAGUAAGGCUGUUGGUUGCUGUGAUUUCCUUUUUUGCGGUUUUUAUCAUGGAAACUUCAGUGUGCUUCUUAGUAUAGCACAUAAUAGAUCCUUAAGCCAAUGCUGACCUUUGUCCAUGAAGGAAGAGGGACAUCCAGCAACGUUCUGCUCCAUCCUUAUCUUCCCCACGUACGCUCAUCUAGCUUCAUUGCUUUUGCUGCUACAACUUGUCUUACUUCACCGACGAGUUGGAACACUUCAGUGGUCGCUGCCCUUAGCUGUUCCACACCUGCAGUUACUCACCACGGGAUUAUGCCUAGGUAAUGCAGAGGAAACGUCGAGAAGAUGGACACCAAAACAUCGCCGG